rnacentral:lncRNA from 1 species
AGAGAGCCAACACGCAAAAUCCCUAAAUCAAACCGCUGUUCAUCGCCUUCUUCAUCUCAGUCGCGUUCAAACGCCCAAGUUCAGGCGAGUGAAGCCCAAAAUUCAUCCCACACGUUCCCCCUCUCCUCGCCACCAUAUGUGUAACGAUCUUUGACAGGUUCUCUCGUUCUCACCCCUUUCUCACGUGUUAGAAGCCUCUAGAAGGCAUAUGCUGGAUGAUGUGGCGUUCAUCAGGUUUGUGCUUGAUAAGUAGAGGAAUUUUCGGAGAAAAGGGGGGAUUUUUUCUUGAGAGAGGAUUUUUGGAAAGAUAUUUUUUAGAGAAAAAUUGUCAGAUUCUGGAGUUUUGCGUAAAAUGCAAGUCGCUUGACAAAUUCGAGUCUGUUGCUGCUCGGGGGUUGAUUUUAGUUGCUAUUUACCUCCUCUUGGUCGAUUUCAAGGUUGUACUAAUUCAAUUUCUUAAUUCCAGGUUCUUUUCUCUUGUUCGUUUUAUUUCUCGUUGUAGAUCGAUCUCUGUGAGCUAUAAAAAUGGGAUGAAGUUUGAAAGAAUAACCGAGAUUUGUGUAGUCAUUUCUCUUGCUUGUAUUAGCCUCUUCUAUGAUUUUGUAUGUGUGCUAAGGAAUGUUCGUCUGGUCCUCUAAUCUCAGACUCCGUUGGAACAAGUGACUUUAUGUGUUCAUAUGCCUCGUAAUGUUUGCUGCUCAUUCAGUGUUGUUUGGUCAUGUGAUUGUGCUUUCUAACUCUUCUAGACUCUUAUGCAUAUCGUAAGCCGACGUGUACCUCGAAUCGUCUGCAAGUAGUCGAUUAGCAUUCCUGUUUUAAAAUUAACUUUAAGUGUUCCCACUGUUUUUUAUGGAUUUUUUUAUUAUGUCUGCUUUGGUUGUUCUGUUUUGACGCCAGCAUUUUUUAUCAUGAAAACUGAAUUAUUCGCAUCGAUCUUUGUUUUUCUCUCAUUACAAGGGCGUUUUUUUGUCUGAUUUAGUGUUUAGGUGGAAGUAAUUGAUAUAGGGUGAAGACCCUUAGAAUUCAGAUGUAAAUGGAAUAUCUAGUUCAUGGGGAUCCUUUGAGAUCAUAAGGCUGAAUCUGUCCUACUCUCUGGCUCUAUUUUGCAUUUGAAAUUAUGAGAACUUUAUGUCAGGAACUUGGUAUCUAUUGAUUGUUCGCCUUACUCCCUGUUUGUAGUGUGCGAGCUCUGACUGUGUCACUGACUUGAGGAUCCAUUCCAGUCAUGUGUAUGCUCAUUCUGCUGUACCCAACAUGAGCUGUAAGGUUCCGCGCCGGUUUAAUGGUUCAGGGAACCAUCAGCUGUACUAGGAAUGUGUAAUUGGCCCAGAGUGUCCUUCACUGUUAACCAUGAUGCUUCUGCUUGAAAAUUCAGCUCAUUUAUUCAAAAGCUAAUUUGGCCUCAUUGAUGGACAAUAAGUUAAUUAUCUUUGCUCUUCUUCUCUUGGUUGUCUAUUUUAUAUGUUCGUGGGACAUUUGUUUGAACUGUUAGCUUGCUGAAAAAUCUUCCCUGCUUUGUUAAAUGUUAACGCUCAUUACCACGUUUGUACUACAAUGAGCACCAGUAGCAAUCAGUUCAGAUUUGCAUAAAUAAUAUUAGGCUGCAACCAUUCUACAGUGACUACUUUAGCUGCUAUAACUAAGCGGAUUUUAUGCAGCGUCAGGAAUCUUCUUAAGAGGUUCGACUAUUCCUGUUUGCUUCAUUAGAAAUUGUGUCCAGUUUUUUCCUUUAUUAGGAAGUCACAUCAGUUGAUAAUAUGGAUUAAUGUGGUUCAACAUGAAUGAUGCCCAAGAAUAAAGUCAAGACCAUCUGUACCAUAUGGUCAUUACAAUCUGCAUAUCAGUUUGUCAAACCAAAACUGUAGCUCAUUCGAAUUAGAUGAUUCUCUGCUAGCGUCUUGUGUUAAGCCUGAAGCCUCUACUCUUUCUUAUGGUCGACUUUUAUCCCUUUGUUGAAUUUUCAUAUGGCAUCAGUCUUUGUGGUAUUUUAUGCAUUUAUUAGCUUAGAUCCGUGAAAGUUUGAGCGAGUAUUAACGUUUCUGGAGUUCAUUUCUAAAUCUACCACCGUGAUUGUGCAUAUGUUCUCGUAACAUGAUUACGAUAUUAAAAACCAAUCCGUAGUAUGCGGUCGUGCAAAUUUGAUCAAACCUUUAUUGCUAAUGAACGUGUUAUUAAUAUAAUCCUCUUUAAAUUAAAUAUAGUUCUUUAGGCCGAGGCUGCCAUAGGUUUGUUUGCAAACAUGAGUACCAAGAUUAAUCAUCGUCGUAGCAUGUGAAACACAUGAUGAAUUCGAAAAACGUGAUACCCACUAUUUACUGUAGAAAAUAAUAAAGAAGAACUGGUAUCGUUAUUGGCUGCCUUUUGGAUAGACUGCAAAUAGG